rnacentral:lncRNA from 1 species
AGUCGGUUAGAGGCUCAUGGGACUCUGUACUGCUUGAUCCUAGAUCCUGCCUUUCCAAGCAGAACUCAGAGACUUAUUUCGAGUGUUACCAAGCUCACAGGACUUUUCAAACGACCCAUGAAGUCCUGCGCCUUCUUACGAAACUCCUCGUUUUUGGUGGGGGCAGCCUUGCUCUCCCUGUUCUUAGUGAUACUAAAGCUUCCACGCAAAGAGGAAAGGCCAGCUCUGACGAACCAGAAUUUAGGAGGCAAGGAGGUGACCAGUUGUUUCCUCUUUUACAAGGACGCUUUGGGGAUGAGUCAGGAGGGAGCUCCAGGGAGUUCAUGGAUUCCAGAUGUUUCUAACUAGCCCCGCCUGUGGGGUUGUCUGUGGAUCUGAGGCACACAGCAGCUUUUAGAAGGUUGGCUGUCCUCUGCUUCAGGACAGUGCUGGAAGACAAAUAAUACACUCUGACUACUUGCUGUGUUGUGUCCCGCACAAGUACAGAUUUGUCUUUUAAGUCCUGAAACUGAUGAGGGCUCCCAGGUGAUGGGGUGAAUUGUGGGCCUGGGGACACACCAUUGAGCACUCUUCUUUUACUGGUGGGCCAGCCCAGCCACACUUGUUAAUAGUCCCAAGUUCUUGAACCCUUAUAUUGCCUGCCUGUCUGCCUUCCCACCUCCCUCUCUCCCUUCCUCCUUCCUGUUUUUUGAUACGAUGUCUCAUAUAGCCUAGGCUUCAAACUUGCUAUGUAGUUGAAGAUAAGUUGAACUUCUGAUCCUCCUGCCCCUAACUUCUAACAACUAGAUUUUGAGGGGUGAACUGUUAUGCGUGGCCCAAAGCCUUGAAACUGGAGUUACAGAUGGUUUUGAGUCGUCAUGUGGAUGCUAGAAAUCAAACCUGGUUCACUAAGGAGCGGGCUCUUAUCUUAGCCUCACGACUUGUUACCAGUCACUUUUUGUCUUAGUGAUCUGUCUUAAUUUCCUUUUCUGUAGCUGUGAUAAAAUACCAAGACAGAAGCAGGUUAAGCAGAAAGUGUUUGGGCUGCAGUUUGAGGUUGCAGUUUAGCAUGACAGGGAAGUAACAGCAGUAGGCUUGAAGCAACUGGCCCACAUGGCAGGUCAAGGAUUAGAGAGUGAUGAAUGCUGGUCCUCAGAUAACCCCUUCUAUACUCCAGGAUCCGAGCUAGGCCAGAGAAUGGUGCCACACAGAAGGAGUUGGUCUUUCCAUCUCAAUUAACCUAAUCAAGAUAAGCCCUCCCGUACACCCAGAGGUUCACCUCAUGGGUGAUUUUAGAUCUUAUCAAAUUGCAAAUUGAGAUGAACAGUCCCGAUCCCUGACCAAAGCAACUUAAAGAAGGAAGAAAUAUUUGGCUUAUAGUUCAAGGGAAUACAGUACCGUCAUGAGGCAGCAGGCAUGGCAGUAGGGCUAGGAGGCAGCUGACCACACAGACCCUACAGUCAGGAAGCAGAGAGCGAGAACGAGUGCCAGAGGCAGUCAUGAGGUUAAUUGCACAAAUUAGCUCCUCUAUUCACAUUGAUCCAAACAAAACUGCAAUCUCCUGGACAGAGGGGUGUGGACAAUGAUUUUGGUGUGGAUAGUGGAAGGCAGGAUUCUGCUUCCAGAGCAAUUCUGCAUGUCAGAAAGUUGGAGCAGCAGCAGAGGUAGCAGCUUCAGCAGAGGUAGCAGCUGCGGCAGUGGCAGCAGUGGCAGCAGCAGCAGCACUGGCACCGGCACUGGCAGAGGCAGCGGCAGUGGCAGCAGUGGCAGCAGUGGCGGCAGCAGCAGCAGCACAAGGAGCUGCUAGGCUAGAAGCACAGAGCUGAGCUGAGGCCAUGCAUCUUUUCACACUCACUGCAGGGCUGGGCCUGCUCUCUGUGGUUCGAGCCACGAUGCCUCCUCUGACUCCUGCCAGUCCUGAGGAGGUGAUGGCCCUGGGGAGGGAGGACUGAGGGUAGCAACUGGCUUCCAAGCUCAGACCUUGGACUGGGUGUGUCUCAGGCCUGCAGAUGGAAGCCACAGGUGAUGUUGAAAAAAAUACCUCUCUUACGUGCUUGGUGGGAUCUUCUCAGGUGGGAGUGGGGCUUGAGCAGGUGUUCCAGGCCAUGGUCAUGUCUUUCUUCUCACUGUGUGCACUUAGAGACUAAGAGGCUGCUGGGGGACAGGGGAGGCUUGCUAGAUGGACGCUGUCCUGGCUCUAGCUGGACUCCCAAGAAUAGCCUGCCUUCCUUCCUUCCUUCCUUCCUUCCUUCCUUCCUUCCUUCCUUCCUUCCUUCCUUCCUUUCUCUCAGUGUGUGUGUGUGUGUGUGUGUGUGUGUGUGUGUGCUUCAGAGACACUUCUUAUAUUCUUCCAAUGAGUUGAUUUCAGAUUUCAUCCUGGGUAAGGCCCCUGUGACUGUUGUGUAUCUGGGAGACAGAGCCAACUUCCUAAUGAUUUCAGGAGAAACUGAGAAGUCUGUUCCUUGCCACACCUCAGCACUUUGACUGUAGACAGUGAAGCAGACCGUGGUCAGUCGGUACAGUCAUGGUUCUCUCAGGUCACCUCCUCAGCCAUGUCCAUUCUGCCCUGUCCUCCGGCUCAGCUCCCUGAAGUGAAAGGUCAACCUGUCCUCCAGAUCACCUUUCUCAGUUCCCUCUGGAUGCCUGUGCAGGGUCUGUGGUCAGGGCUCUUCCCAGGAAGUGUUUCUCCUAGGACGCCUGUGCCCUGUCUGCUUGGUUCUACCUACUGCUGCUGUUGGUGAGAGACAGCCAUGGUCAGGACUCCUCCUGACAUCCCGGCAUCCCGGACCCUUCCAUCUUGCACUGAGACCUGACUGCAUUCUCCUCCUGCCUCUCACCCACCGUCUUCCAGAUUCCCUUCUCCCUGCAACUGUGUGCACUUGUGACCUCCAACUGCAGAUCUUGGGAAAGGGGUACAUAAGGUGCUGGGCAGGAGACUUGCCUAUUCCUGAGUCGAGAUGGAAAGACCCGCUGCCUCCCUUCACCUUUGAGAGAAACAGUCUUGAUGAGUUGGAGUUCAGGAUGAACCUGACGUGAGUGGUCUCUGCGGAGGUAAUGUCUGCUGCUGCUGCCAAACAGUUCUAAGUGUGACUAAGCACAGACUGCCUCACCUCUAGUAGUCACUGAGGAAUGCAGCAUUUUCUGUGUUGCCUGGGCAACACACCAGGUGACCUCUUCAUGAGGUCAGAGAUCUAACUUGCUGUGGUCUAUGCCCAUGCUGAAUAGGGUGAGAGGAUCUCUUGCACAGGAUUGCUUGCUUCAGGAGAGGCCAGCAUGGGUCCCAGAAAUAAGAAUGGGGAAGAACUAGGUGCCCUGGGGAGAGCCAUACUUGGACCCUGUGUUCUAGGAAACCCAUUGGCUGUAUUCAGUACAAGCUGCCUCUGUAUGAGGGAGAGGACCCUGGUAUGUUCCUCACAGGGUGGAGGCAUGUCAUCUACAUCCAUUUCCUGCCUGGGAAGGAGUCUGCCAUUGCCUACUUCAGGGGCAACAUGAACUAUCAGUACUACCAGCUGCUGCUGCUCAUGGGCCGCACCCUGAGACCUAACCCAGAUGCUGAGAGGAUCUUCAAGGAGUCUGUGAUGAGUAUAAUGCCCCAAACUGGAAGGAUAAUUACCCCUCCCCAUGCUGGUAGGGAAGGAUUUCCUCGUCCCCUCUCUCCUUUCUCCUCACUCAGGCUUGUGCUCUGGAUAUUUCUCUUAUACACAAGAAACCACAUGAACAGCAUCAUGUUUCAUAGCUCAUCUAAGUUUUCUGGUUUUUGUCCCUCUACAGAAGCCUGUGUGUUUGUCCUAGACCCCCAGUGCACUAAGGGAGUGCUGCAGUAUCCAUGCAGAAAGCAGGAGAUGGGACCUGGCUGACCCAGAGGUGCAGACACCCACAUGUAGAACUCUCAGUGUCAAAGAGCACAGGGCCUAACACCCACUCCUCCCCCAAGUCUGCAUUCAAUAAAUUCGGUGGAUAUCACUCAA